UUAUAAUGGUAAAACGUUUGUCCAAGAAGAAGCUUCGUAGACAGGCAAACUUGAAAGAGAUCGCUGCGUGGUCUGGAUUGUACUGGUUCUGCAAAAGGGAAAUUGAGAAUGCCAUGAAUUAUGGCGGUGAAAAGAUAUGCCUUGGACGUGGGAGUGCAGGGCAGGUGUAUAGAGGUAUUCUCCCAAGUGGUCAACUCGUGGCCAUCAAGCAUUUAACAAAGAGUAACACCUCUGAGUCUUUCACUCGAGAAGUUGAAGGUCUUUCAAGGCUUCGCCAUCCUAACCUGGUUUGCCUCUUUGGAUGCUGCAUAGAAGGGGAUGAGAGAUAUUUAGUCUAUGAAUUCUGUGCAAACGGGAAUCUUGCUCAACAUCUCUUAAGUAAUGUUCUCUUUCCUUACCUCCACUCUUCAUUAAUCAUUUAACAUGUCUAAUGUAAAUAAUCACUUUUUAGUUACCUCUAUUUAGAUAUAGAUUUGACUUUAGCCUUCAUGAUUCUUUUUUAUGCAGUUUCAUAAAUGUUUUUGCCUUUUUUUUAUUGUUGCCUAAUUAAAAUUAGAGCUUCAUAUCAGUAAUUCUCCUUGACAUUUAAUGAAAUUGUUUACUAUGCGAAUUAUUGAGGUGAAACUUUAACUCUGAUUAGAUAACAACACCAAAAUCAAAAUCAGUAUUUCAUCCAAGUUUUGUCCUUCUUUUAUUUCCUUGGAGGGUUUUAUAUAUGCGUGUGUGAUUUUGUUCAGGAAGAGAUAGCCACUUGACAUGGGAAACCAGAGUAAGAAUUUUGAGAGAUUGUUCAUAUGCACUCAAGUACCUCCACCAUCAUAUAGAAGGCUGUGUUGUCCAUAGAGAUAUAAAGGUACGUACAUACAUGAUACAUGGUAUGAAAAUUUGGAUCUGUUGUAGCAUAUUAUGCACUUGAAAACAACAUGCAAAUAUAUUUAUAAUGUUUUCAGUUAGCCUUAUGGUAAUGCUUCUGACUGAUUUUAAAUUUUAGCUUACGAACAUUCUUUUGAAUGAGAAAUACCAAGCGAAACUGUCAGAUUUUGGACUGGCAAAAGUGAUGGGGAUUAAAGAGAGCAAGGUUUUUACUGAUGUUAGAGGAACAAUAGGCUACAUGGAUCCAGAGUACAUGAGUAAUGCCAAGCUAACCUGCGCUAGCGAUGUUUACAGUUUUGGUAUUGUUGCUCUACAAAUUCUGUCGGGACAGAAAGUCAUCGAGUUGGAUCUUGAUGCCAGAGAUCAACUCACUAGGAAGGUACUUGCACUUGCAGGGCAGACAGACAAGCAACAACAAAAAAUGUAUGCAUUAUACUUACAUGCCAUUCAACUCAAACUGAGAUAAUUUGAAUAUGGCUUUUGUAGGCAAGAGAUGUGAGCAUGGGAAAGCGUCCACUGUCAGAUUUUGAAGACCCGCGACUAAAUGGAAAAGUUGAUAAGACAGACUUCGAAGCCAUCCUUCAGAUUGCAGUUUUGUGUGUUGCCAAAUCAAGCAAAGGUCGUCCAACCAUUGAGCUUGUUUUUGAGGAAUUGGACAAGGUCUGCAGGGAUACAGAAACACGGAUGGUAUAUAUAUAUAUAUAUAUAUAUAUACACACUUAGUUACUCCUAAACUCAAUCAUAACUAUAGAGUUUGUUUAUAGUUGACAAAUGCUAGUUAAUUUUUAUUAGUGAGGGAUUCGAACACACUAUCUCUCCCCUUCUUUCUCUUUCUCUUUACCACUUUACCACUAAGUCAAUCUUAUAACUCCUAGUUUGUUUACAACUUAAUGUGCACAUGCAGGCCCUUUUCGUGCUAACCGUAGCUACGUGUCUAUCAAAUUGACAAUAGUUUGUUUUGUUUCUGCAGAAGCAAAAGAAGGAUGAGAGCUUAUCAACAACAUCCACCCCGAGCUCCAAAUCGUCAAAAUCGGCGCCUCUAUGACAUAAAGGAUAAUGCGCUGGUUGUUACAUACGAGUGUGAGAUGAAACUUGAAGAUGUAGUGUAAAUUGAAAUUAGAAGAUGAAGAUAUACAUUACAUCUAAUAAAUUGUUCACAGCAUAUAACUAUUACGACGGCACAAAAUUAGGAGUGUGGCGUACAUACAAAAAUUUCCCUUAUGGCUCUCUCUCGGUCAGAGAUCUGGAAUCCUCCUACAAAAGCUGUUCUGCUGGUCCAACAAAAUGAUUCAUG
rnacentral:lncRNA from 1 species